ensembl:misc_RNA Y_RNA Y RNA
UGCCUGUAUGAAGAUAGUGAGUUAUCUCAAAUGAUUGCUCAGUUACAGGUUGAACUCCUUGUUCUACUCUUUCCCCACUUCUCACUACUGCACUUGACCAGUCAACA